UACGGGGGGGGCAAGCGUUGUUCGAAAUUACUGGGCGUAAAGGGCUCGUAGGCGGCCAACUAAGUCAGACGUGAAAUCCCUCGGCUUAACCGGGGAACUGCAUCUGAUACUGGAUGGCUUGAGUUCGGGAGAGGGAUGCGGAAUUCCAGGUGUAGCGGUGAAAUGCGUAGAUAUCUGGAGGAACACCGGUGGCGAAGGCGGCAUCCUGGACCGGCAUUGACGCUGAGGAGCGAAAGCUAGGGGAGCAAACGGG
rnacentral:rRNA from 1 species